UGCCAGCCGCCGCGGUAAUACGGAGGGGGCUAGCGUUGUUCGGAAUUAUUGGGCGUAAAGAGCAUGUAGGCGGACUGUUAAGUCUGAUGUGAAAGCCCGGGGCUCAACCCCGGAAGUGCAUUGGAUACUGGCAGUCUUGAGUAUGGGAGAGGAAAGUGGAAUUCCGAGUGUAGGAGUGAAAUCCGUAGAUAUUCGGAGGAACACCAGUGGCGAAGGCGGCUUUCUGGCGCAUAUCUGACGCUGAGGUGCGAAAGCGUGGGGAGCAAACAGAAUUAGAUA
rnacentral:rRNA from 1 species